rnacentral:rRNA from 1 species
GGUGAGUAACACGUAAGCAACCUGCCUAUCAGAGGGGAACAACAGUUAGAAAUGACUGCUAAUACCGCAUAUGCCUUAGAAUCACAUGGUUCAAAAGGGAAAGGAGCAAUCCGCUGAUAGAUGGGCUUGCGUCUGAUUAGCUAGUUGGUGGGGUAAUGGCCUACCAAGGCAACGAUCAGUAGCCGAACUGAGAGGUUGAACGGCCACAUUGGGACUGAGAUACGGCCCAGACUCCUACGGGAGGCAGCAGUCGGGAAUAUUGCGCAAUGGAGGAAACUCUGACGCAGUGACGCCGCGUGCAGGAAGAAGGUUUUCGGAUUGUAAACUGCUUUAGACAGGGAAGAACAAAGACAGUACCUGUAGAAUAA